CGUGGCCGCUCGCGUAGACCUCCGCGUUGUCGAAGAAGUUGACGCCGUGGUCGCGGCAGCACUGGAGCAGCGACUUUGCCUCCUUCACGUCCAGCGACUUCAACUUCGCCAUAUGACAGCUGGCUCACCUUCAGCCCCGAUCCGCUGCCUUAAUUAUUUGAGCAGUAUGUUGAUUAUGCUCUUGAUGUUCCCAUGUACUUUGCUCCAAGUCAGUUAUUCACUUAUUUGAUUCAAAUCGUUCGAUGGCUAGAGCGAAGAAGGUAGCUGCUCGGCCUCAUCCAACCGCUUCGGGACUUUGAAUUCAUAAUCUGCAAUUUGCAGUUUUGCACAUAUUGUAUUAUUGUCCAUCUUCACUAGUUCAUUUCUUCUUUUCAAGAAUUCUUCAA